AUGUUGUAUGAAGGUAGAGAAAAGUAGCACAACCCUUGAAGAGAAUGGAAGGAGUCCCGAUGGCCUUUAGAACACACAUAUGGUUCUGGCAUCAUUGCCUACUCUGUGGCAUCAAACCAUGUUUUUGG